AGAGUUUGAUCCUGGCUCAGAGCGAACGCUGGCGGCAGGCCUAACACAUGCAAGUCGAGCGGGCACCUUCGGGUGUCAGCGGCAGACGGGUGAGUAACACGUGGGAACGUGCCCAUCGGUUCGGAACAACCCAGGGAAACUUGGGCUAAUACCGGAUACGACCUUACGGUGAAAGAUUUAUCGCCGAUGGAUCGGCCCGCGUCUGAUUAGCUAGUUGGUGAGGUAACGGCUCACCAAGGCGACGAUCAGUAGCUGGUCUGAGAGGAUGACCAGUCACACUGGGACUGAGACACGGCCCAGACUCCUACGGGAGGCAGCAGUGAGGAAUCUUGCACAAUGGGGGAAACCCUGAUGCAGCAACGCCGCGUGGAGGAAGACGGCCUUCGGGUUGUAAACUCCUUUUAUUGGGGACGAACAUUGACGGUACCUAAUGAAUAAGAGGUGGCUAACUAUGUGCCAGCAGCCGCGGUAAUACAUAGACCUCAAGCGUUAUCCGGAUUUAUUGGGCGUAAAGCGUCCGCAGGUGGCAGUUCAAGUCUGCUGUCAAAGGUCGGGGCUCAACCCCGAACAGGCAGUGGAAACUGAACAGCUAGAGUACGGUAGGGGCAGAGGGAAUUCCCAGUGUAGCGGUGAAAUGCGUAGAGAUUGGGAAGAACACCGGUGGCGAAAGCGCUCUGCUAGGCCGAAACUGACACUCAUGGACGAAAGCUAGGGGAGCGAAUGGGAUUAGAUACCCCCGUAGUCC
rnacentral:rRNA from 1 species